AAAUUAACAUAUCUCAGCAGUCAGAAGUCAUUAAGCUUUGCCAGUGAUUUGAAACCAUUUUUCCAUUUCAAAAGCAACACUGGCUGUUACUUAUUUUUCUGGAUGAAGAAGGUGGCCACAAGUGGAUUAAGUACUGGAGUAAAGAAAUGUGCUGUUGCGCUUCUCAAAGAUCACUUCUGAUACGGUCUGUUCAGAUGCAGAAGGCUGGAAAAACACCUCAGAUCUGAAAGUAUCAUGAUCCAAAAAAUUACAAGCAAACAGAAAAAAUAUUGGUUUUAAUACAGGAUCAUGGGACAGUUGAGGCUGGAAGGAACCUCUGAAGACCACCUAGCCCAGCCCAACUCUUGACUGUCCAGCUGGCUUUUAAGUAGUUCCUUAGAGAGUCUCCACUGCCUCUCCUCAACACCCUCACUGUUAAAAAGUCUUCUCAUAUGUUCUAACAUAAUUUCCUGUAUUUCAGUUCCUGUCCAUGUCCUCCUGUCUUUUCACUAUUCUUUUUCCCGACCCAUUACAUUAUUCUCUGUCUAUGGUCUAAUCCAUUUGACAACAAACCAUGUCAUCCUGCACUGAAGAAACAGAACAGGUCUGCAAAGCCCCCUCACAUCACACAAGGUUACCCUGUAUUGCAGAGGUCUAUUUUUGCGGUCACAAGUCAUAAAACAUUUUUCAAAACCUACAAGCUAAUUUCAUGGGGAAAACCAAGUGGGACAAUGCCUUAAGAGAUCACUUUGGAAGGCAUACACCAGCUUGUGGAAGUCUGUUUUGUGCUCUACCUACUUUCUAUGUAACCCUGCACAUUUGGACUGAACUAAACUGAUACAGAUGCUGCUUCAACACUCGUUUGAAAGGUGGAGAGUCUGCAGGAGCACCAUAUCCCAUCACAUCCUUACAUCGAGGUAAGGAAGACAACAAUGGAAGCACAGCCAAUCUGAAAAUCAAUAAAU